rnacentral:rRNA from 1 species
UAUUAUUCUAAAAUUAAUUUAUAACCUAGGUUAGUAAUAGAUAUUUACUUAAAAGCUAAAAAAUUUGGCGGUAAUUUAAUCUUUUCAGAGGAACUUGUUUUUUAAUCGAUAAACCGCGAAGUAUCUUGCUUAUUUUGUUUUGGAAGUUUGUAUACCAUCAUUAUCAGGUAAUUUUAAGAAAAUAAAUUAUUAAGAUUAAGAAGUUAAAUAAAUUAGAUCAUGGUGCAGCUUAUAGAUAAGUUAAAAUGAGUUACAAUAAAUUAUUUUAUACGAAUAAAUAAAAGAAUUUUUAUUUUAAAGGAGGAUUUGAUUGUAUUUUAAAUUUAAUAUGUUUAAGAGAUGUUAGCUCUAAAUUAUGUACAUAU